rnacentral:lncRNA from 1 species
GUGGAAUCCUUUGACACUCAAGUCAGAAAUUUGAAACAAAUGGGAAGGAGUGAGUGUAACUGGAUCUGGUGUCCUUACCUCGAGGAUCUCCUAUGGACCUCCAUUUAUAGAUGGAGGUUUGAGGUGUCGUGGAAGGCAGGAGUGCCUGGCGUGCCAUUUCUGCCAUAAUGGAUGCACCAUUUCUGCCAUAAUGGAUGCGACAUACCCA